GGGCCUGUGGCUUAGCGGCAGAGCAUCUGCUUCACAUACAGAAAGUUCCAGGUUCAAUCCCUGUCAUCUCCA
rnacentral:tRNA from 1 species